AGAAUCAACGCUGGCGGCGUGCCUAACACAUGCAAGUCGAACGCGGUUACCCCGCAAGGGGUAACUGAGUGGCGAACGGGUGAGUAACACGUGGGUGACCUACCUUCGAAUGGGGGAUAACGUCCCGAAAGGGACGCUAAUACCGCAUAACAUCCUGCUUUUGAACAGGUGGAGAUCAAAGCCGGGGAUCGCAAGACCUGGCGUUUGAAGAGGGGCCCGCGUCUGAUUAGCUAGUUGGUGAGGUAACGGCUCACCAAGGCGACGAUCAGU
rnacentral:rRNA from 1 species